GCCGUCCUAGCUCAGUGGUAGAGCGCGUGGCUUUUAACCACGUGGUCGUGGGUUCGAUACCCACGGACGGCG
rnacentral:tRNA from 1 species